rnacentral:lncRNA from 1 species
AGUUCAAGCCAAAUCAACAAUCAUGACCCACUUCAAACCCAAAGUAACUCCCAACCAAUUCUUUACCUGCCUUCAUAUAAAAUUUAUAAAUUUAAAAAACAAAAAAAAAGAAAAUAAUAAAUAUAAUAAAAUAAAUAAAAAUAAUUUCGGGGAAUUCACUGUUCAUAUGAACAGUGUCCCGUGAAAACACUGUUCAUAUGAACAGUGUUACAAAAAAAAAAUAAUAAUGUAAACAAGAAGCCACUGUUCAUCUUCUCCCCCGCAGUGCAUCCGGGCCGUUCCCCUUCUUCCCAUCGAUUCCGCCUCGUCCUCCGCCUGUGACGCAGCCCGCAGCCGAGACCCAGCUCCGCCAUCAAGCCGCGUCGAGGCAUCUCCCCGUUGAUCCCGCGGCCACCCACCAUUCGGAGCGAUCCUCCCAGCAGCCGGAAGUCACCCAUCCGUGAUCAAGGCAACGCAGCCAUCUUCCUUCCUGCCUCUGCAACCACGGAUCCAUGUUCUCCACUCUUCCGGAUCUCCAGCUCCUUUCAACGUCCCCGUGAUCCCAGCGAUCCUGCUUCCAAGUUUAAGCACCAGUCCAAGUUCCCAGCGUCCGUCUGCAGUGGUCCUCCAGCACCAUUUCUUCCGCCGGUGAUGCAUCCCACGCUUCAAGCCUCCGCGUCUGCAAGCACUGUGACCCAAGGACCCAGCACCUCUUCCGUGAUUUCCUCCCGUCGAUCAAGCUCCCAUUUCUUCCGCCCGUUUCAAAUGCAGCUGGUGAUCCCACGGAUUGACGCCCUCCUUCCGUUUCCAAAUCCCAGCCCCCAAGCAAUCGGAUCCCCAGCAAUCACGCAUCCUCUCCCUCUCGAUGCUUCAACGAUUGAUCUAUAAAAGGGAGAGAGGGAAGAAAC